CAGGUCCAGGUGCAGCUGUCUGCAGCUGAGCUGGUGAAGCCUGGGAGUCCAGUGAAGCUGUCCUGCAAAGCUUCUGGCUACACCGUCAAUGACAACUAUAUGGAGCAGGUAAAGCAGAGGCCUGGACAGAGCAUGGAAUGGAUUGGAUAGAUUCAUUUUGUAUAUGGUGGUACUUAAUACAAUGAAAAGUUCUAGGGCAAGUCCACAUUAACUGUAGAAAAAUCCUCCAACACAGCCUACAUGGAACUCAACAGCUCGACAUCUGAGGACUCUGUAGUUUAUUACUGUGCAUGG